rnacentral:rRNA from 1 species
GACGAACGCUGGAGGCGGGCUCAACACAUGCAAGUCGAACGGAAAGGCCCUGCGUUUGUGGGGUGCUCGAGUGGCGAACGGGUGAGUAACACGUGAGUACCCUGCCCUCGUCUUUGGGAUAACUUCAGGAAACUGGGGCUAAUACCGGAAAGGAGCUCCUGCUGCAUGGUGGGGGUGGGAAAGUUUCGGCGGUUGGGGAUGGACGCGCGGCUUCUCAGCUUCUUGGCGGGGUAGUGGCUUACCAAGUCUUUCACGGGUAGCCGGCCUGAGAGGGUGACCGGCCACAUUGAGACUGAGAUACGGCCCAGACUCCUACGGGAGGCAACAGUGGGGAGUAUUGCACAAUGGGCGGAAGCCUGAUGCAGCAACGCCGCGUGCGGGAUAACGGCCGUCGGGUUGUAAACCGCUUGCGCCUGUGACGAAGCGUGUGUGACGGUAAUGGGUAAUGAAGCACCGGCUAACUACGUG